GACGAACGCUGGCGGCGUGCUUAACACAUGCAAGUCGAGCGGUAAGGCCCUUUCGGGGGUACACGAGCGGCGAACGGGUGAGUAACACGUGGGUGACCUGCCCUUAGCUCUGGGAUAAGCCUGGGAAACUGGGUCUAAUACCGGAUAUGACUCCAUAACGCAUGUUGUGGGGUGGAAAGCCUUGUGCGGCUAGGGAUGGGCCCGCGGCCUAUCAGCUUGUUGGUGGGGUGAUGGCCACCAAGGCGACGACGGGUAGCCGGCCUGAGAGGGCGACCGGCCACACUGGGACUGAGACACGGCCCAGACUCCUACGGGAGGCAGCAGUGGGGAAUCUUGCGCAAUGGGCGAAAGCCUGACGC
rnacentral:rRNA from 1 species